rnacentral:rRNA from 1 species
AGUGAACGCUGGCGGUAGGCCUAACACAUGCAAGUCGAACGGCAGCACAGUAAGAGCUUGCUCUUACGGGUGGCGAGUGGCGUACGGGUGAGGAAUACAUCGUAAUCUACUUUUUCGUGGGGGAUAACGUAGGGAAACUUACGCUAAUACCGCAUACGACCUACGGGUGAAAGCAGUGGAUCUUCGGACCUUGCGCGAUUGAAUGAGCCGAUGUCGGAUUAGCUAGUUGGCGGGGUAAAGGCCCACCAAGGCGACGAUCCGUAGCUGGUCUGAGAGGAUGAUCAGCCACACUGGAACUUAGACACGGUCCAGACUACUACGGGAGGCAGCAGUGGGGAAUAGUGGACAAUGGGCGCAAGCCUGAUCCAGCCAUACCGCGUGGGUGAAGAAGGCCUUCGGGUUGUAAAGCCCUUUUGUUGGGAAAGAAAAGCAGCAGGUUAAUACCCCGCUGUUCUGACGGUACCCAAAGAAUAAGCACCGGCUAACUUCGUG